AGAGUUUGAUCCUGGCUCAGAGUGAACGCUGGCGGCGUGCCUAACACAUGCAAGUCGAACGAGAACGGAUUUAGUUUACUAAAUUGUCAGCUAAGUGGCGCACGGGUGAGUAAUAUAUAGUUAACCUGCCCCAAAGAAGAGAAUAAUUGUUGGAAACGACUUGUAACUCUCUAUAUGCCUUUAUUACAUAAGUAAGCAAGGGAAACAUUUAUGGCUUUGGGAUGGGACUGUACGGUAUCAGCUUGUUGGUGAGGUAAUGGCUCACCAAGGCUAUGACAUCUAACUGGUUUGAGUGGAUGAUCAGUCACACUGGAACUGAGACACGGUCCAGACUCCUACGGGAGGCAGCAGUGGGGAAUAUUGCACAAUGGAGGAAACUCUGAUGCAGCAACGCCGCGUGGAGGAUGACACAUUUCGGUGCGUAAACUCCUUUUAUAUAAGAAGAUAA
rnacentral:rRNA from 1 species